rnacentral:misc_RNA from 1 species
CUUUCAACAAAAAAACGAGAUUCAGAGAAGUAAGCAAUUCAAGAUUUGAUAUAUUUCACUACAACAUUCUUGAAAAAUGAGUUGUUUUUCUUGCUUCUCCUCUCAUGACAAGAAAACAGCUAAAAGGUCAAGUAGCAGCAAAAGAUCACGGCCACAGCCACCCAUCUCUCCUCCUCAUAAAAAAGAAAACAAUAUUGCAGCACCGCCACGGCCUGCUGAGAAUCCUAAACCAAAGCCCCAAGCUGAACCAAAUACCAAUAUGGAAGCCACCCAUAAUAACAACAGCAAGGAAGGUGGCAACAACAAUAUCACAGCACAGACUUUUACAUUCCGUGAACUAGCCACAGCUACAAAGAAUUUCCGACAAGAAUGUCUAAUUGGUGAAGGAGGGUUUGAAAGAGUUUACAAGGGAAAACUUGGGAAGACCAACCAGGUAGUGGCUGUGAAGCAACUUGAUAGAAAUGGGCUGCAAGGAAAUAGAGAAUUUCUUGUAGAGGUGUUGAUGUUGAGUCUCUUGCACCAUCAGAAUCUUAUAAAUCUUAUUGGAUAUUGUGCUGAUGGAGAUCAAAGACUUCUGGUAUACGAGUAUAUGGCUUCUGGAUCUCUUGAAGACCAUCUAUUAUUAGAACUUCCACCAGAGCAAAAGCCAUUAGAUUGGUUCACAAGAAUGAAAAUAGCAUUAGGUGCUGCUAAAGGACUAGAGUAUUUGCACAAUAAGGCUAAUCCCCCUGUGAUAUAUCGGAACCUGAAACCAUCAAAAAUUUUGCUGGACGAGGAAUUUAAUGCAAAACUGUCCGAUUUCGGGCUAGCCAAGCUGGGACCUACAGGGGAUAGAAAACAUAUUUCUGCAAGAGUAAUGGGAACAUAUGGUUACUGUGCUCCAGAGUACCAAAGAACAGGCCAAUUGAGUGUUAAAUCAGAUGUAUACAGCUUCGGAGUUGUUUUACUGGAGUUGAUUACAGGAAGAAGAGCCAUUGACAUCACCAAGCCAACCGAGGAGCAAAAUCUUGUCGCCUGGGCACAACCAGUGUUCAAGGAUCCAAAUAGAUACCCAGAACUUGCUGAUCCACUUCUUCGUGGAGAAUUCCCAGUUAGGGCCCUAAAUCAAGCAGUUGCAGUGGCUGCAAUGUGUCUACAAGAGGAAGGAGGGGGGGAGUUCGGCCAUUGAUGAGCGAUGUAGUUAGAGCUCUGAGUUUCCCUGGAGGAGUUCCAGAAGCAGGCGCUGUUACACAUGACAGUGGGGUAUGACAAAGACAGCACUCGAGACCGAGAAGUGGCAGAAGCCAUAGAAUGGGACUCAAAUUCAAGGCUUGCAGUGUCAAGGAGUGGAAGUGCUUCUUCAUUGUAAUAUAUCAUCUGUUGCAUAUAUACAUGUAAAUGGUUAUGAAUGGAAAUGGGUUUUCUCUGGAGACAUUUUAUAUUGUUCUAUAUAAACCCAAUCUAGAUUGAGAAAAGCUACUAUGUCGUGCCUUUCAUGUUAUCCUCAAGGCACCAAUAUGAGACCCUCAUCAUCAUGUUAAAUCUGUCAUUGCCUCUUAUAAAGCACAAUUUUCUGCAAGCACGAAAGUCAUCAAGCUUCCUACAAUCAAUC